UACUUGUCAUCCUUUUAAAACUCCGUUACUAAAUACUAUGAUUAAAACUAGACUUUCAACUUUUUUUGCU
rnacentral:tRNA from 1 species